GGGACUCACAAGCGGGCGGGCGGGUCGAGGGGAGGAAGGAACGGCGGCGUGCACUCGUCCUGUUCCCUCGACGACAAGAGACAAGACAAAGCUACACGAAGGUUGGUCUUGUCCUUCUGACUACACAACGCAAGACCCACCACCACCACCACCACCACCACGGGGGCGUUGAUUGGAUGUCCCUACUCCUUUACUCCCGGAUGCCAUACCUCCACACUCUCACUCUCCACCCUCCCUCUUCCACCUAAACAAGCACCCCGGACACACCGUCACUACUGCCAGCGACGAUGACUACAACAGUAAUGAAAGCAGUGUUACUGUUACCACCACCAUCAUAACCACCGCCACCACUGCCAACACUGUCAUAGUCUACGUGACUAACACAGCAACGUCGAGAACAGUAAUGAAAGCAGUAUUACUGUUACUACCAUGACCACCAUCACCACUACCACAAUCACCACCCACCUUCAUAAUAUUAAACGUAACUAUCUCAGCAUUAAAAUCAUUAGUAUGGCUAGUUAUUAAUUUGAUCGAGCGGUCUUGUAAUACUAAUGAGGAAUAGCGGAACAAAUAGAAACAGGAUUAAGAGCCAGUGGAACAGCAACGAAACUACAACACAUGAAAAGGUAACAAAAACUAAGUAAAAGAAAACCAAAGGUAAAAAAAACAAUGAAAAGUAAAAGAAAACAGCAAAACAAAAGCAGCAACAAGAAUUACAACAGUAUUAGCAAUGCCAGCGCCACCACCACCACCACCA